CAAAUCAUACAAGCGUAAGUGUGCAUGACCUAAAGAAAAUAGAGGUGAGGCUGACAUAUAAUGGGAACCCAGGAUCACAGCAAGUGCUCCAUAGAAGUACAGAUGAGGCUGACAUUUUUGGAAGAAGUGAUCCAAACAGACAGCCCCAGCUAGGAUGAGGGUUGAUUUUGACAGAAGAAAUGUGUAGCCCUGUUUCCAUAGCAACCAUCACGAGAACCAUGCCAGCAGUUGUUUGAGAACCCUAUGUCAGAGGUCAAGUUCCAGAAUGUAGAAGAGAUGGUGCUGAAGUUUCCUCCACAGUAUCUUGAGGCGGUUCCACCAUUCAGAAGAAACAUUUGUACAUAGAUGAGAUGGAUUCCAGUAAAGAUGGCAUGAUAAACAAGUUUGUUGGGAAUUUCCCCUAGUAUUUUAUUAUUUUCAUUUUAUUGUUAUGAGAUGGAUUCCAGUAAAGAUGGCAUGAUAAACAAGUUUGUUGGGAAUUUCCCCUAGUAUUUUAUUAUUUUCAUUUUAUUGUUAUUCAAAUUUGGCAGCUGUUUAUGGUAAUUAAGGCAUAUGUUAAGAUAUGUGUGUAUAAUUAGAUGUUGUAUUGAUAACUGAUAAGUUAUAUUAGUUAUGUUUGCUUGUAUCUUGUGUAUUGAAUGUGAAUAUAUGUUGAUCCCAACAACCUACCAAAGGCUUACUCAAACAGGUCUCUCUAGACUCUCAACAAAACUCCCAAGUUCUCUGUCCAAAUAGUCCCCAAGUCUCUCUUGAAACUUCAUAUCGUAACAGGAAUAGUUUUAAGUUUUACGAGAGUUAGAAAAAAUCACACACAGAUUCUGCUUUCUGGUGAGGUCUUCAUUGAAGAGAAGCCUGGUCACCUCCCGAAUUUCACUCUCACUGCCUUCUCUGACUGCUAUGACUCUCACUAACUGCUGUGACUCUCACUAACUGCUGUGACUCAACUAAUGUUAUGAAGAUUUACGGGGGGUUCACGCAUGAAAAAAAGACAGUCUGGCCCAGGCAUACUAGAGGAGCUUGUGCCCCCUGCUGUGCUUGGGAUCUUGUUAACCUUCCACCGGGGAUCAUAGGCUUGGACAUGACUGCUUAAAACACCACAGGUUCUCGACCAGUUUCACAGCCAAGAAGGAACAACACUCCUUUAGUUUCUCCCAGAUUUUUAUUUCAGUACAUGCAAUACAAUGGGGGUUCUUAGAAAAGUGACUAUUAGUGAUGUGUACAUGGAAUUAAGCAGUCAGACGGAGACAGAUAUCUGAAGCUUGCAAUGCUGAGGUGAGAUGGACAUGUAACAUCUCAGAGUUAUAACUUUUCACACUAGGAGUGCCACACUAUUUAAUUGUCUUAUUGAGUUAUGAUAAUAGUACAAAGUAGUCUACCCUGUAUUACCUGUGUGUAUUACAGUAUCAAAGUUCUUACAUUAACAAGUUCCCUCUUCUUAUCUAAUUGUAAUAACCCGCCUGUGGUUAUACAGGUUGUUAGAUGUUCUUUUCACCAAUAAGACAACUGAGACAGGCAGGUAUAUAGUUUUCUUCUACACGGUUUAUUCAACUGACUGUAAAACUCAGGUCUUUGCUCUCUCUCUAUAUAUCUAUCUAUCUAUCUAUCUAUCUAUAUUUACAUCUGUGCCUUUAUAUCCAUGUUUCUAUCUAUAUGUCCCUCUUUUUGUCUCCUUCUCUGUAGCUCUGUCGCCACUUUUAUACCUGAUCCUAAUUUCACAAUCAGGAACAACAACAAGAGAUCUCCUCGGUUAGAGCCAUUUAUUCCUUCUGUCAUCUGCUGGUAGUCCAGCUUCUUAUAUAUCUCAUACAAGGAACUAUUUUGUAUUCUGAAUCUUAAUUGUAACCUUCUCUUAGUAUGUAUUGUUGUCACAACAUUAAUUAUGAAUAAGGAAGGUUACACAUUAAUUAUACAUACGGUCACAUGUAUAGGACUAUUUAUGCAUGACAGGGCUUGACCGAGAGGCAAUGCCUGGGCAAGUGGAAUUAUCCAUCACGUAUUGAUGAAUUCUUUCUAAUGUUUACAAAAAAAUUAAAUAUGUAUCUGGUACACACAAUACAGGUGGUUCGAACGGUUAGAAUCAUAUUUUGUGGAUAGGUAUGUAAUGAACGUAGCCAUGGUGUAAGGCUACCAAUGUGUAUCAAACGGUUUUUGGGUUAUGUUUUUUUAGCUCCAUUGAGUAAGGACACUGAGCUCUAUUGAUGUGGGUAGGGUGAAGCCGAACCCAGAUGUCACAUUAGUCAAUGUGACAUCACCCUGUCAUACACCUUAAUAAAUAGUCCUAUACAUGUGACCGUAUGUUUCACAGCCAGAAACAACAACUAGAGAUCUCCUCGCCUAUAGAGACCUAUGCCUAUUCCUAUUGCUAUCUGAGCCUGAUCCUUGAAAGUGAACCCUUUUUUUGUGCGUAGGUUGAAGUGCAUUAAUCUGUGGGGACAAAACAGCUUGCAUCUGAGAAACUAAAGUUGCCAUGUUUAAUUGUAUGGCAUCAGCUACCUUUUUGUUUACAUCUGCUGGUGUAACUGACGCUACUGAUGCUAAAGAUUUGCAAGUUGCAGACUCAGCCCUAACAGCUGUGUCUGUGAGGUCACUUAAGGUUAGCGGAUUUUCCAAAAUCACUACUUGUUUAAUGGCAGAGUUAAGCCCAUUAAUGGCAAAAAGUUUGAAGCUCUGCACCCACCUGGCAGCGCCAUCUGUCGCGCCAGUAAAGUAGGUGAUGCUUGGCCCAAGUCUUGCUGUACCUGUGGUUGUUGCUGCACUUUAUUAAUUGUCCUACUUCUUAACUGUAACUGUCCUACUGUACCUGUGGUUGUUGCUGCACUUUAUUAAUUGUCCUACUUCUUAACUGUAACUGUCUUACUGUACCUGUGGUAGUUGCUGCACUUAUUAAUUGUCCUACUUCUUAACUGUAACUGUCUUACUGUACCUGUGGUUGUUGCUGCACUUUAUUAAUUAUCCUACUUCUUAACUGUAACUGUCUUACUGUACCUGUGGUUGUUGCUGCACUUUAUUAAUUGUCCUACUUCUUAACUGUAUGGCAUUGUUAAAAGGUGUGCUCAUCUGUACUUGAGGAUCAAGCCGCUAGGUUUCUCCACCAAGAUUGCAGUUGAAAGGAAACAUAUUGUUGAAAGACUAACUGAGCAAGGUACCACUUCAAAGGAAGUGUUGUCAGUCAAAGUUAAAGAACAUCCAAAAGUCCUUGGAUAAAUGCCAAGAUCACUUUGUGAGUUCAGUUCCAAAACUGUGGCUUUACCAUUUGGAUCAACUAGUCCUCUGGAAUUUCUACUGUGGGAAUCAAAAAUGAAAUAUCUGACAUGGUAUGCACAAUAUGACUUAAUUUUGGGUAGAAUAUCCUAUGGUGGUGCAGUACCACCAUAUUUACACCAAAAUCCCCUUUUGUCAAUUUAUUAAGUUUCCAGUAUUUUGGUCAAGAAAUAUUUCUAGUGAUUGGUAACAAUAUCUGCACGUCACUUGGGCAUGUCUUGAAUACAACCUAAUGUUUCCCCAUUCAAUUAUGAUCUUUGGUCUUAAUCCUGUAACAAAUGUGAUGUUUUUCACCAACAGUGAACCUUCUAUUGUUAAUUUGUUAGGACAGGAUUCAAUUGCAUUGUGACCAUAACACUCUCACUUUCUCCUGUUAUCUCCAAGGCAAGGUAGUUUUUUGGUUUUCUUUUUACAUCUGACACAUAUUGUGACAAAAAUUAGCAGUAGAAAGAUGAUCAGAGAGUAUAUGGGAGUUGCGAUUUCAUGUGUUACUGCUUUGUAGAGCUCAAAAUAUCCCGUUGUUGGUGUUGUUGUGGUGAUGUAUGUUGUGUAUCUGAAGACGGGUGCUGGAUUUGCUUUUGCAUGACCAACGGCUUGCAGAGUUGUGGUCAGGACUUUUAGUUUGUAUUGUACUGAGUUCUUUAAUAUACCACCGGGUAUAAAAUUACUCCUAAGGGCUCUAAUGCAAACGUGAAGUUCCAAGGUUCGGUACACGAUUCCCGACUUGAGUUAUGCUCAGAGAGAAUAGCAACGCAACACCACUGUUUCGUUACAAAAUCACAAACUGAAUUUUAUUUGGCUUCGUAGCCUUCUUUAUACUUAAAACCGGCGUGCCAGACCUUUAAUGUUUACGAGUUUAAAGAUAAGAAGAGCGUCUAAAGAUAAGAGUGAUUACUGCGAUAGGGUAGAGGGAAAGAGCGUCUAAAGAUAAGAGUAAUUACUAUAAACUAAUUGAGCCGCGUGCACAUGCCCGCGACUCUGAUCAAAGGAAAUUUAAAAUAUACUGGUCUGAACACGCCUUCCGUUUUUACCAGAAAAAAAACACAUUUUUUUUUUCAUUAAUUACGUCAAAGAUAUUCAUUCUGGAUAGUAUUUACAAUAUAUAUACAUGACGAAUCGGCCCGGGGGAAAACCAGAGAUAAAACCCUUUGAUUUAUGUCUUUGAAUAAAGGGG